AAAUGCUGCCAUACUGUCCUGGAAGCACUUGAUCGCAUCUGAUCUUGGAUGUUAAACAGGGUCAACCAGGGUAAGUACUUGCCUGAGAGAUUACAUGGGACUAUUAGCUGAUGCAGGCU
rnacentral:rRNA from 1 species